GAUGAACGCUAGCUACAGGCUUAACACAUGCAAGUCGAGGGGCAGCAUGAACUUAGCUCGCUAAGUUUGAUGGCGACCGGCGCACGGGUGCGUAACGCGUAUCCAACCUUCCCGUUACUCAGGUAUAGCCUUGCGAAAGUAAGAUUAAUCCCUGAUGAUACAUGUUUACAGCAUGGUGAGCAUAUUAAAGAUUUAUCGGUAACGGAAGGGGAUGCGUUUCAUUAGGUAGUUGGUGAGGUAGCGGCUCACCAAGCCCCAGAUGGAUAGGGGUUCUGAGAGGAAGGUCCCCCAAACUGGAACUGAGACACGGUCCAGACUCCUACAGGAGGCAGCAGUGAGGAAUAUUGGUCAAUGGUCGGAAGUCUGAACCAGCCAAGUAGCGUGAGGGAUGACUGCCCUAUGGGUUGUAAACCUCUUUUAUAUGGGAAUAAAAAAGAUUACGUGUAGUCUAUUGUAGGUACCUUAUGAAUAAGCAUCGGCUAAUUCCGUGCCAGCAGCCGCGGUAAGAC
rnacentral:rRNA from 1 species